GACGUAGGGGGCCAGCGUUGUUCGGAAUUACUGGGUGUAAAGGGUUCGUAGGCGGUGCGGCAAGUUGGGAGUGAAAUCUCUGGGCUUAACCCAGAGGCUGCUUCCAAAACUGCUGUGCUUGAGUGUGGGAGAGGCGCGUGGAAUUGCAGGUGUAGCGGUGAAAUGCGUAGAUAUCUGCAGGAACACCCGUGGCGAAAGCGGCGCGCUGGACCACUACUGACGCUGAGGCACGAAAGCUAGGGGAGCAAACAGG
rnacentral:rRNA from 1 species